AUGAACAAGUUGGACUGAAGGGUUUGUUUCCGUGCUGUACAUCUCUAUGACUCUGUGACUCUAUAACUGGAUCCUGGCUGCAAUUCUUCAACUGUAAUAUCCCAAAUGUGUAUUUCAGAGUCCUACGAUCAUAACAAUCUGCUGUUUGAAAGAUGGUAGAAGCAAAUACAGAACCAAAUUUUCAAAAAGGAACUGGAUAUAUUCAUGAAAAGAAAGAAUUGGCAAGAUUGCAAAGAGUGGAGAACUUGGACUGUUGGGUGGCUCUUUCAAAGAGAGAACAUGUGCAUGAUGACCAAACAGCUUCUUCCUGUGCUGAAGAACUCUAUGAUUCCUUGUUGGCACGAGUGCUCUGAUUCAAAAAUGAAGCAAUAGUCUCAUAAAAUUGAAGCAAAAGUUCACAAGUAAAGAACAUGACAGAAAAUGGAACAGUUCUGUGCAUGCUUUGCAGUCUGGAUUACCAGGGGUAUCAAGGAUUCUGUCUGCCCCAAGCGAAACAGAGGGGAAGAUAAGGUCAAUAGGUCUGAGGCUGAAGCUCAGAUUGCAUUGAUUUAACCUAAGGAGGCAGUGAGUUCAGUGAGAGAACCUGGUGUUGGAUAUAUAACAUGCUACAGUGGGAUUUGGGCUUGUGAUGAUGUCUUCAGUAGAAUGAUGUGGAAGUGCUGAUGUUGGACUGGGGUGGACAAAGUUAAAAGUCACACAACAUCAGGUUAUAGUCCAACAGAUUUAUUUGGAAGUACAAACUUUCGGAGCGCUGCUCCUACAUCAAGUAGCGAGAGGAGGAGGAUCAUAUGACACAGAAUUUAUAGUAAAAGAUCAAAGUGUCGUACAACUGAUGCGAUGUAUUGAACAAACUUAGAUUGCUAUUAUGUCUUUAAUCACUUAGAAUGGGUUGUGACUUGGCCAACGUUUUCUAUCUCAUUUACUGCAGGCAAGGCAUGGUACAAUGGUGAGGUCAAGCUGAUGCUACAACAAUGGAUGAAUGGAUACCGCGUAACCAUCGCCAGACAGGAUGUUCCCUCCCAGUCGGGGAACACUUCAGCGGUUAGGGACAUUCGGCCUCGGAUCUUCGGGUGACCAUCUUCCAAGGCGGACUUUGGGAUACGCAACAAAACAGAGUGGCCAGGCAGAGGCUGAUAGCCAAGUUCAGUACCCAUGAGGAUGGCCUCAACCAGGGUGUUGGGUUCAUGUCACACUAACAGGAAAAGUAACUGAAGCCCAAAAGAAGUCAGUUAUUUUCUCACACCUGUUCCGGUAAGCUGCCAUCUUUAAUCAAUAACAAAGAGACUUGUGGUUGGUGUACCAAUCACCCUGAAGAAAUGAAGAAAUCAUUCCUAUGAAGAAAUGACAGAAUCCAGAAAGGAGACUGAAAUACAUAAGGUCUUGGGAAGCUAAAGGAACAUCCCAUCAAAUCCUGUCAACUGGUGCUAUUAGACUGUAUUUUCCCAAUAUUUUAUCCUCUACCUAUAAGAUAUCUACAAUCCUCUAACUCCAGCCUCAACAGCAUUCCAGAUUUGGAUUACUCAAUCAUUCACAACUGUGCUGUAGCUAUUUCAGGCCUAAGCUCUGAAAUUCUCUCCUUGAACCCUGUCCACUUUCUAUUCCUACCUCUGUGACUAAGCUUUUGGUCAUAGACCCUAAAAAAAAAACAAACGUGUCUCAAAGUCGUAUGUGACAUUUGGCUUUAUAAGGCUUCGGAGGGACUAACUGAUCUAUUCCUGCUCCUAGUUCUUGUAUUCUUUAUAUUCUGAGCACCAUCAAGGAGAGAAGUCUGAAGCUUUGCUCUUGGGUCAGGAGUGCAAAGUCAAGACUAUUGCCAGCUUCGCAAACACCUCCAAGGAGAGAGUUUCCUGGAAGUUCUGAUUUCCAUUCCAGAGGAAUGGGUGAAACCGGGAGUCCGGGCUGCCAGAAGUGGUCGGAGACAGCUGGGUUUGGAGGUGGACUGAGCAGAAGGAUGGUCUUGGUGCUCCGACACUGUGUGGCAGCUGUGAGGAAAACAAUGAAACAAAAAGGAGCCGUCAUCUCUCAGACCCGAUCAGCCCCAUCCCGCACAGACACUCCCCACGCCAGACCAUGCCAGCUCAUGAACCCCAGCCAAUUCCCCACUGUUCCUCAGACCCUCUGUGACACUUUACACGCAUCAUCUGCCAUGCAUGGCUUUUUAUAGCGACCAAUUUAAUGGCAACCCAACCCAUGCCCAUUACCCCUUUUCCUUACACCCUUCAUGUCUAUUCACUCAGUAUCCAGCAUAGGAAGACCACAGACCUCAUGCAGAGAUUAAAUGAAGUUUGCAAGUGUCCGUCAAUGAAUUUUGUUUUAAAAAUAAACUUUCUUUGAUAAAAAAACUCAUUCAGUACAUAUGACUCCUGAGAGAAGUUGACAGUGAGCACAUUUUUCAGUUGUUAGCCCAUGCUGAAGUUGAAGGUGACCAUUUGAAGGGUCUGUCAGCAAUCCCCAACUUUUAAACCUGCUACCUGUUGACAAACACACUUACCAAAUUAGUUUAUAAUUUUACCCGACUUCCCAUAGAGUCAACAUCAUAAUGCAGAUUCAAUUCAACAGCGUGAACACAAAUCUAACUCACCAGGGUAAACACAGGCCCACCACAGUGAAGACCGAGCCACUAAUGUGAACACAGAUUCACCCACAUGAGAAAGCAGACUCACAGCAACAGGCAUUACCAACGAGGUCUGCCAUGGCUUGUGCAGCAAAUUCAUGUUUCCACCAUCUUACAUUCUUGAAGAACCGAGAUCACCUUUUGCCAAUAUGAAAUUUAACUGACCUGCUGAAAGAAAUUACUACAAAUAUAGCUAAUUGGUCAACACAUAGCCAGUUUUGUUGCUGUGCCUCUUGCUUGACUGAUUCAGCCACAAGCCUUCUGCCAACACUAGAUGGCAAUCUGCUGUGCUGCUGGCAGUAAAAUCCCUCCACCAGCAAGAUUGUCGUGAGAAUGCUGCUCGAGAAGGCAUGAAUUACAGUUGUGUUCCAUCAAACAAAACAAUAAACACCUGAGGACAGGUCAUGCUGCUAAUUAUGAUGGGAUGUGAUUAUUGUGGUUCAGGUUGCUGUGGGACCUAAGUAUUCAUGCCCUCAAUCACAUUGAAUUGAGUAAAUUCUGCAAGGAGAUUUGCUCUCCACAGGUUGCUCUAACUUCCCAUAUUCUGCCUGUUGUAACUUUCUAGUUGGAUAAGAGUUAAACUCCAAUGUUUGUUUGUUUUCUUCAAAUGUUACUGUACAGAACCAAAUUGCUUUAGUGACUGUUUGUUUUUUUAUGAAUAAUGUUUAUUUUUGAGAUUAAAUAAAGGUAUCUUUCUUGUAUCCUGGUCAA